UCCCUGGAGGACCAGUGGUUAGGCCUGGGCGCUCUCAUCGCCAUGGCCUUGGCUCGAUUCCCGGCCAAGGAA
rnacentral:tRNA from 1 species